rnacentral:rRNA from 1 species
AUGGACCACUUCAUCCGGCUCGUCAAGCGGGAGCACGACGUCGACAUCUUCGGCGACGCGCGCGCGCUCGGGAAGCUCCGCCGCGAGUGCGAGCGCGCCAAGCGGGCGCUCAACACCCAGCUCCAGGUCCACGUGGAGAUCGAGUCGCUGGCCGACGGUGUCGACCUGUCGGAGCCACUCACCUGGGCCCGCUUCGAGGAGCUCAACGCCGACCUCUUCCGCAAGGCCAUGGUGCCCGUGAAGAAGGCCAUGGCAGACGCCGGGCUGGCCAAGGGCGACAUCGACGAGGUGGUGCUGGUCGGCGGCAGCACCAGGAUCCCCAAGGUGCAGCAGCUCCUCCGCGACUACUUCAACCCCGAUGAGGCCGUCGCCUAUGGCGCGGCCGUGCAGGGCGGCAUCGUGCGCGGCGACGCCAAGAAGGUUGUGGUGCUGGACGUGACGCCGUUGACGCUCGGCAUCGAGACGGCUGGCGGCGUGUUGGCGAGCGUGAUCCCCCGAAACACACCGAUCCCGACCAAGAGAAUCAAGAAAUGGCACUGGUGG